rnacentral:rRNA from 1 species
AAACGGAUCCUUCGGUAGGCUCAUUGUGUGAUCAUAAUAACUUAACGAAUCGCAGGGCCUUGCGCCGGCAAUGGUUCAUUCAAAUUUCUGCCCUAUCAACUUUCGAUGGUAGGAUAGUGGCCUACCAGGGUGGCAACGGGUAACGGGGAAUUAGGGUUCAAUUCCGGAAAGGGAGCCGGAAAAACGGCUACCACAUCCAAGGAAGGCACCAGGCGCGCAAAUUACCCAAUCCCGACCCGGGGAGGUAGUGACAAUAAAUACUGAUACGGGGCUCUUUUGGGUCUCGUAAUUGGAAUGAGUACAAUCUAAAUCCCUUAACGAGGAACAAUUGGAGGGCAAUUCUGGUGCCAGCACCCGCGGUAAUUCCAGCUCCAAUAGCGUAUAUAAAAGUUGUUGCAGUUAAAAAGCUCGUAGUUGAACCUUGGGUCUGGCUGGCCGGUCCGCCUCACCGCGAGUACUGGUCCGGCUGGACCUUUCCUUCUGGGGAACCUCAUGGCCUUCACUGGCUGUGGGGGGAACCAGGACUUUUACUGUGAAAAAAUUAGAGUGUUCAAAGCAGGCCUUUGCUCGAAUACAUUAGCAUGGAAUAAUAGAAUAGGACGUGCGGUUCUAUUUUGUUGGUUUCUAGGACCGCCGUAAUGAUUAAUAGGGAUAGUCGGGGGCGUCAGUAUUCAGCUGUCAAAGGUGAAAUUCUUGGAUUUGCUGAAGACUAACUACUGCGAAAGCAUUCGCCAAGGAUGUUUUCAUUAAUCAGGGAACGAAUGUUAGGGGAUCAAAGACAAUCAGAUACCGUCAUACUCUUAACCAUAAACUAUGCCGACUAGGGAUCGGGGCGGUGUUUCUAUGAUGACCCGCUCGGCACCUUACGAGAAAUCAAAGUUUUUGGGUUCUGGGGGGAAUUAUGGUCACAAGGCUGAAACUUAAAGAAUUUGACGGAAGGGCACCACAGGGCGUGGACCCCGCGGCUUAAUUUGACUCAACACGGGGAAACUCCCCAGGUCCAAACAAAAUAAGGAUUUACCAAAUUAAAAACCCUUUCUUGAACUUUUUGGAGGGGGGGGCAGGGCCCUUCUUAUUUUGUGGAAAGAAAUUUUUCCCCCUUAUUUUGUAUAAAAAAAAAAAACCCCCCCCCUUAAAAAAACCGGGCCCCAUUUUUGGGGGGGGGGGUUUUUUUUGGGGGAAAAUAGUCUCACCCCCAAGAAAAUUGUCCGGCUAGAAAAAAGGGUGGUGGACGCUCUUAUUCUUCGG